rnacentral:rRNA from 1 species
AUGCACGCUGGCGGCGUGCCUAAUACAUGCAAGUCGAGCGAACAGACGAGGAGCUUGCUCCUCUGACGUUAGCGGCGGACGGGUGAGUAACACGUGGAUAACCUACCUAUAAGACUGGGAUAACUUCGGGAAACCGGAGCUAAUACCGGAUAAUAUAUUGAACCGCCUGGUUCAAUAGUGAAAGACGGUUUUGCUGUCACUUAUAGAUGGAUCCGCGCCGCAUUAGCUAGUUGGUAAGGUAACGGCUUACCAAGGCAACGAUGCGUAGCCGACCUGAGAGGGUGAUCGGCCACACUGGAACUGAGACACGGUCCAGACUCCUACGGGAGGCAGCAGUAGGGAAUCUUCCGCAAUGGGCGAAAGCUUGACGGAGCAACGCCGCGUGAGUGAUGAAGGUCUUCGGAUCGUAAAACUCUGUUAUUAGGGAAGAACAAAUGUGUAAGUAACUAUGCACGUCUUGACGGUACCUAAUCAGAAAGCCACGGCUAACUACGUG